GGCUGGUCCGAUGGUAGUGGGUUAUUAUAACUUAUUAACAUUAGUGUCACUAAAGAUGGUAUACAACCCCCCACUGCUAAAUUUGACUGGCAAAA
ensembl:Y_RNA Y_RNA Y RNA